CUGCCGUUGAACGGCCGGCCAAAUCCGACAGAACGAAGCUUUUGGCUACAUCUACAUGUGACAUGUACUGCAGCAGCUAGCAAUAUAUCCAACAUUGUUGCUAGCUAACUGAUCCACGUGUAAACCGGCACGUGUCGCCGUGCCAUUGGCCUGCCGUGCAAGUCCCAUGUGAACCGUGGCGAUGUGCCAUGUGCGUUGGUGCACAAUUAUGCAGGUGACACUUUCAUUACAUCAGUGACACUUUGCAGAGGCAGAAGGCUAUAUAAGAUGUAGAAUGUGCAUUGUUCAUGUAAGCCAAGAAGCCAAGUGAACACUGCAUAUAUAUUAGUGUUAGUGUGCUACAUAUAUAUAGCAAGUGAUGUGUGAUAGAGCUGCAUUUGCACCUGCACCUACAGAGAGGAAGAUGAAGCAGCAAGCUAGCAAUACGUGCUUGAUCGCUAUACGCUAGCUUCUUGCACACAAUGUUGUUCCUGGUCUCUUCCUGAUCCCUAGGUGCAGAGGCAGAUGCAACUAUGUCAUAGACUUCACAUCCAUCUUUAGUUACUUACCACUAUAUAUUCAAUAAAUUAGCUAGCACCCUAGUUCUCUUGCUGAUUCCUUUCAAAAAAUCUUCAGUUACUUGCUCCUUCUAAUCCUUU
rnacentral:precursor_RNA from 1 species